CAGUAGCCGCGGUAAUACGGAGGGUGCAAGCGUUAAUCGGAAUUACUGGGCGUAAAGCGUGCGUAGGUGGUGGUUUAAGUCCGUUGUGAAAGCCCUGGGCUCAACCUGGGAAUUGCAGUGGAUACUGGGUCACUAGAGUGUGGUAGAGGAUAGUGGAAUUUCCGGUGUAGCAGUGAAAUGCGUAGAGAUCGGAAGGAACAUCUGUGGCGAAGGCGACUAUCUGGGCCAACACUGACACUGAGGCACGAAAGCGUGGGGAGCAAACAGGAUUAGAUACCCGCGUAGUCCCUGUCUCUUAUAC
rnacentral:rRNA from 1 species